rnacentral:rRNA from 1 species
AUUUUUUAGAAUUAAUUAAAAAUAAGUUCUGCUCAGUGCUUUAGUAAAUAGCCGCAGUAUUUUGACUGUGCAAAGGUAGCAUAAUAAUUAGUCUUGUAAUUUAAGACUGGAAUGAAAGAAUAAACGAGAUAAGUCUUUUCUUAGUUAUUAUUUUUGAACUUUACUUUUUAGUAAGAAGGCUAAAAUACUCCCUUAAGACAAGAAGACCCUAUAAAGCUUUACACAAAACAAUUUAAUAAAUUAAUAAUGUGUUUUACUGGGGCGGUAGAAAGAAAAACACUUUUAUAUUAAAAAGAUGAAACAGUCUUUAUACCCAAAAAUUUUGAAAAUUAAAUAAGUUACUUUAGGGAUAACAGCGUUAUACAUCUAGAAAGCUCAAAUUGACAGGUGUGUUUGCGACCUCGAUGUUGGAUUAGACUACCUUUAUCGCGCAAGAGCGAUAUGAGGGGGUCUGUUCGACCUUUAAAAGUCUCCA